rnacentral:rRNA from 1 species
GAACGCUGGCGGCAGGCCUAACACAUGCAAGUCGAGCGGUAGCACAGAGAGCUUGCUCUCGGGUGACGAGCGGCGGACGGGUGAGUAAUGUCUGGGAAACUGCCUGAUGGAGGGGGAUAACUACUGGAAACGGUAGCUAAUACCGCAUAAUGUCGCAAGACCAAAGUGGGGGACCUUCGGGCCUCAUGCCAUCAGAUGUGCCCAGAUGGGAUUAGCUAGUAGGUGGGGUAACGGCUCACCUAGGCGACGAUCCCUAGCUGGUCUGAGAGGAUGACCAGCCACACUGGAACUGAGACACGGUCCAGACUCCUACGGGAGGCAGCAGUGGGGAAUAUUGCACAAUGGGCGCAAGCCUGAUGCAGCCAUGCCGCGUGUGUGAAGAAGGCCUUCGGGUUGUAAAGCACUUUCAGCGGGGAGGAAGGCGGUAAGGUUAAUAACCUCAUCGAUUGACGUUACCCGCAGAAGAAGCACCGGCUAACUCCGUGCCAGCAGCCGCGGUAAUACGGAGGGUGCAAGCGUUAAUCGGAAUUACUGGGCGUAAAGCGCACGCAGGCGGUCUGUCAAGUCGGAUGUGAAAUCCCCGGGCUCAACCUGGGAACUGCAUUCGAAACUGGCAGGCUAGAGUCUUGUAGAGGGGGGUAGAAUUCCAGGUGUAGCGGUGAAAUGCGUAGAGAUCUGGAGGAAUACCGGUGGCGAAGGCGGCCCCCUGGACAAAGACUGACGCUCAGGUGCGAAAGCGUGGGGAGCAAACAGGAUUAGAUACCCUGGUAGUCCACGCCGUAAACGAUGUCGAUUUGGAGGUUGUGCCCUUGAGGCGUGGCUUCCGGAGCUAACGCGUUAAAUCGACCGCCUGGGGAGUACGGCCGCAAGGUUAAAACUCAAAUGAAUUGACGGGGGCCCGCACAAGCGGUGGAGCAUGUGGUUUAAUUCGAUGCAACGCGAAGAACCUUACCUGGUCUUGACAUCCACAGAACUUUCCAGAGAUGGAUUGGUGCCUUCGGGAACUGUGAGACAGGUGCUGCAUGGCUGUCGUCAGCUCGUGUUGUGAAAUGUUGGGUUAAGUCCCGCAACGAGCGCAACCCUUAUCCUUUGUUGCCAGCGGUCCGGCCGGGAACUCAAAGGAGACUGCCAGUGAUAAACUGGAGGAAGGUGGGGAUGACGUCAAGUCAUCAUGGCCCUUACGACCAGGGCUACACACGUGCUACAAUGGCAUAUACAAAGAGAAGCGACCUCGCGAGAGCAAGCGGACCUCAUAAAGUAUGUCGUAGUCCGGAUUGGAGUCUGCAACUCGACUCCAUGAAGUCGGAAUCGCUAGUAAUCGUAGAUCAGAAUGCUACGGUGAAUACGUUCCCGGGCCUUGUACACACCGCCCGUCACACCAUGGGAGUGGGUUGCAAAAGAAGUAGGUAGCUUAACCUUCGGGAGGGCGCUUACCACUUUGUGAUUCAUGACUGGGGUGAAGUCGUAACAAGGUAACCGUAGGGGAACC